UCUGGUGGUCUUUGGCCAUCCGAGUUGUAAUCUAGAGAAGUGUUACCCGCGUUGGACCGUGUACAAGUCUCCUGGAAUGGAGCGUCAUAGAGGGUGAGAAUCCCGUCUUUGACACGGACUACCAAGGCUUUGUGGUGCGCUCUCAACGAGUCGAGUUGUUUGGGAAUGCAGCUCAAAAUGGGUGGUAAAUUCCAUCUAAAGCUAAAUACAGGCGAGAGACCGAUAGCGAACAAGUACCGUGAGGGAAAGAUGAAAAGAACUUUGGAAAGAGAGUUAAACAGUACGUGAAAUUGCUGAAAGGGAAACGCUGGAAGUCAGUCGCGUUGGCUAGGAAUCAACCUUGCUUUUUGCAGGGCUUACUUCUUAGUUGACGGGCCAACAUCAAUUUUGAUUGCUGGAAAAAGGCCUAGGAAAUGUGGCACCUUCGGGUGUGUUAUAGUCCUGGGUUGUAUACAGUGAUUGGGAUUGAGGAACGCAGCACGCCGCAAGGUUGGGUUUCGACCACACUCGUGCUUCGGAUGUUGGCAUAAUGGCUUUCAUCGACCCGUCUUGAAACACGGACCAAGGAGUCUAACAUGCCUGCGAGUGUUUGAGUGGAAAACUCGAGCGCACAAUGAAAGUAAAAGUUGAGAUCUCUGUCAUGGAGAGCAUCGACGCCCGGACCUGAUGUUUACUGACGGUUCUGCGGUAGAGCAUGUAUGUUGGGACCCGAAAGAUGGUGAACUAUGCCUGAAUAGGGUGAAGCCAGAGGAAACUC
rnacentral:rRNA from 1 species